GACGAACCUUGCUAACGUUAUUCGGAAUUACUGGGCUUAAAGGGUGCGUAGGCGGUGCGGAAAGUCGGGUGUGAAAUCCCCCAGCUCAACUGGGGAAUUGCGCCUGAAACUACCGUGCUCGAGGAAGACAGAGGUACGCGGAACUUAGGGUGGAGCGGUGAAAUGCGUUGAUAUCCUAAGGAACACCGGUGGCGAAGGCGAAUCUCUGGACAGUUACUGACACUGAGGCACGAAGGCCAGGGGAGCAAACGGG
rnacentral:rRNA from 1 species